AUACUUACCUGGAUGGGGUCAAUGGUUGGUCAAGGUGGACCAUGGCCUAGAGUAGUGACCUUCAUUGCACUUUGAAGGGGUGCUGCUUUAAGGUCGGCCCAAGUGGUCGAGCCUACAUCAUAAUUUGUGACAGUGGGGGCUUGCGUUCGCGCAGCCCCUGC